UAGGAUAGAGGCCUACCAUGGUGGUAACGGGUAACGGGGUGUUAGGGCACGACACCGGAGAGGGAGCCUGAGAAACGGCUACCACAUCCAAGGAUGGCAGCAGGCGCGCAAAUUACCCAAUCCCGACACGGGGAGGUAGUGACAAUAAAUAACAAUACGGGGUUCUUUCGGAUCUCGUAAUUGGAAUGAGUACAAUUUAAAUCUCUUAACGAGGAACAAUUGGAGGGCAAGUCUGGUGCCAGCAGCCGCGGUAAUUCCAGCUCCAAUAGCGUAUAUUAAAGUUGUUGCAGUUAAAAAGCUCGUAGUUGAAUUUCGGGGUUAGUAGGUUGGUCAUGCCUCUGGUAUGUACUGGUCUCACUGAUUCCUCCUUCCUUAUGAACCGUAAUGCCAUUAAUUUGGUGUUGCGGGGAAUUUGGACUGUUACUUUGAAAAGAUUAGAGUGUUUAAAGCAAGCUAACGCUUGAAUACAUUAGCAUGGAAUAAUGAAAUAGGACGUUCGAUCUUAUUUUGUUGGUUUCUAGGAUUGACGUAAUGAUUAAUAGGGAUAGUUGGGGGCAUUAGUAUUCAAUUGUCAGAGGUGAAAUUCUUGGAUUUAUUGAAGACUAACUACUGCGAAAGCAUUUGCCAAGGAUGUUUUCAUUAAUCAAGAACGAAAGUUAGGGGAUCGAAGACGAUCAGAUACCGUCGUAGUCUUAGCCAUAAACUAUGCCGACUAGGGAUCGGAUGA
rnacentral:rRNA from 1 species